GGCUAUAUUGGUGACAAAUGUGAGCUUUAUAGACUUUACAAGCUUAAAAUGUGAACUCUAAAUGUGUUCAUUCUUGGUGUCCUUGUCGAAUUCACGUGAUCUUAUCUGACAAUUUAAGCUUUAAUUUGAGCAUCACUGUGCACUGAUGAUUGAUCAAUUCAAUCAUCGACACUCAUCCUGACAACAUUGUAUUACAUCUUGCAGGAAUUGCUGUAGGAAUGAAGAAUUGGCUUCGCAUAACCUUCGCCAUUGAGCCUUCAGCACUUGAAGUUGGCCUUGAGAGGCUAAAAGUCUUCUGCCAAAGGCAUGCCAAGAAGCAGUAAGAUUUCAUCGAAGUAUCAAGCAGCGAAGAGAAUCAAUAGUUGCUCGUUGAUUCUCAUGCUCCAAUGUUAGAUUUACUAGCCAUUCUGUCAACAAGAACAGGCUGUGGAGAUGUACAACUUCUCGUUGGAUCUCCAAGGUGCAAUUGCUUAUCAUCAAAAACCUUUUCUCGCAAACUCUACGUAUCAAGCAGUGAAGAGAAUCAAUAGUUGCUCGUUGAUUCGCAUGCUCCAAUGUUAGAUUUACUAGCCAUUCUGUCAACAAGAACAGGCUGUGGAGAUGUACAACUUCUCGUCGGAUCUCCAAGGUGUAAUUGCCUGUCAGAAAAUUAUCUCUCUUAAACUCUACUGUGAAGUGAUUUUCUUGCCUCAAAAAACCUUUUGACAUUGCUUUUACCUGCAGUAUAUUUGUUUUUUUUUAUGAAAGAUGAGAAACUUUCCAGUCUCUUCUGUGUAAUAUGUGGUUUGUUGGUGCAUUUGCCCCCUUAUUCCUAGUUUUGUCUUGAUUUGGUCCUUUACCCCUUAGUCCUUUUAUUAUUUAAUUUGUAAUUGUUUAAUCCUAUUUGUAACACUGCGAUCAAUUUAACUUUUAAUUGCUACAUAUCCCUUAAAAAUUAACACCAUCCACCCUUGAUGGCAGGAUCUACAAUGUCUCUGGAAGAGGCAAAGGGUGCUCUAUCAAGGAGGGAGAAAAUAAUAAGAUAAAACUGAGUACGGUAAGACUAAAUACACACCAAAUCACUGUUGUUAAAAUUACCCUGGCAUGGUCCGCUAGAGACCUAUCCCGAGCCAGAUUUUACUUAAAAAUAAUUUUUUUGACCCGAUAUGAUUUAAUUAGAAAUUCAAAUGAUUUAUGAUUUAGUUAAAACUCAUUAAUUUUUUCUUUUAAAAUAUAUUAAUCUUUCUAAAUUCAUAAUGAAACCUUGUAUCUAAAUAACCCGAGUAAAAUUUAAUAACCAUGUUAUAUAACUUACGACUCCAGAGCGAGAGAGAACUGUGGAAGAGUAGAUGGUGUCUGUGUAGCAGUGCAAUCGUAGCAUAAUUUGACUAAGGAAAAAGAAUUGCUCUUUAUUUGAAGGUCUUAGAAAGGCUGGCCUAUAAUAUAAUAUAAUAUAAUGCAUGAACAAUAAUUGAAUCUAGAGGAUUCUAAUAAGAAUGGCCCAUACAUGCAAAAUUGAGAUUAUAUAUUAGAAAAUAAUGCUUGGUCAUGUCCUGUCGAUCAGUUUGGGCCAUUCUUAAAAAUCAACAAGUUUAUGCUAAUUCAUUAUACCUUGCAAUAGCCCAUAAUAACGUAGUUACCGGUUUACUGUAGGUUUGAGAUUCUAGUAACGUUUGUCGUACCCGACAUCGCGGCGGUCCUAAAAAAUAAUCUCUUGAUUAUGGAAAAAGAACAGAUAUCUGGCAUCUGGUUCUUUUAAGAAAAAAUGUCUUGUUUGAGGAGUCGCCACCUAGUAUUAUGGUCACUAGGAACCCUAACUGGUCAACAGAGAUUCUAUGGCCCGGGAUUGGUUACGUAAAAAAGAAGAUAUUAUCACCCCUUAAACGUUCUGCCUGAGGCAGACUGCAUUGCUGGUUUUGUCUUAAAUUGCUAAACAUUUAUUCGCUUAUGCUAUGAUGAUCUGUUUAUAAUAUUCCUGACUCUGGCGCCAGUGAAUAUUCGAGCUCGAAUAAUUCCAACUCUGGCGUUGGUAAAAAUUCGUAGCUACGAAAAAUUAGAUCAAUAUUUUUUUAUUCCCUACUCUAGUGCUAGUGAAUAAAUAAAUAAAAAUAAAUUGAUUUUUAUGCAUGCACAUAUUUUUUUAUUUUUCUAGCUAAAUAAAAUAAAAUACACCGAAUAAAAAUAAUAUAAAUUUAAACCGGUAUUUUUAUUCCUGACUCUGGCGUCAGUGAAUAAACCAAUAAAUUUAUAUUAUUUUUAUUCAUUCAUACACAUUUUUUUUAUUUUUUCUACUUUUUUACUUUUCUGUUUUUUUUAUUUUUUUUUAUUUUUUUGGGCUGGGCCCAACUCAGCCCACAUGGGCUGGGCUAGACCCAGCCAGCCCAGCCCAGUCACUGGCUCAAGCCAGUGACCCGGCUGGGCAAAAAUCAAAGAAAGCACGCGUGAAGUGAUUUCACGCGUGCAUGAGCAGAAUAGAGGAAAUGAGUUAGAAUGUGUGAAUUAAAAUUCAAAGUAAACAGUAGCCGGUGAAUUAAAAUGAAAAGCGGGGAAGAGGAAGAACUUACCUGGUCUGCUGGAGGCGAAGCUUUCUUGUUCUCUGGCUCUUCUUCGUUUUUUGUUCGCCUGGCUUGCUCUCUGAUUCGGGAGACGGAGGCGUGAUGGAUGACCGGCCAAAGCUCUGCUUCGGUUGCCUUGUAUGCUCCUGCGUUGUCCUCUUGUUCUCGGUCCCCGUCUCUCCUUUGUUUUCUUCUUUCGUGUUUUUUCAGUCUCUCGGUUCUGUUUUUCUCUCCGUCUCUCUCUGCCCAGUGCGCUCUCCCCUUUUCAGUCCCUUUUUCUCCCCCCCGUUCGUUCGUCUCCUCUGUUUCCUUUUGAAGAAACUAGAGGCUCCACACGUCCACUCCUUUUUCUUUUUUUCUUUUUUUUUUCCUCUGGUGUUUUGCUCCAGUUCCUCCUGUUCUCGGUGUAUUAUUGCUUUGGAUUUGUGCUCUGCUUUUUCUCUCUUCUUUGCUCUGAUUUUCUUCUCUGGUUUUUUGUCUGGGUUUAGCUGAAGCUUUUCCUCGGUUUCUCGUCCGAAAUCCCACUGUUUCCCCCCCUUUCAGUCCCCAGUUUUUCUUCCUUUUUUUUUUUGCGUUCUUUGUUUUCUCUGGCUUUAUAGCCACAGAAUUCCACCGUUACCAGGUAAUAAAUCGACUGUUAUUGCAGGAGUAAUGGUGGCGGUGGGCAGCUGAGGCGCCGAAGAAGAUGAACAGUGUUGAGAAACGGCACCCUUUUUUUGUGUUUUGAUCCUUCACAUUUUGAAUGUUUUCAGUCCAGUCCUUGGAUAAAUUGUAAUUGAACCCCUGCAUCUCAGCGCCAUUUACACAUUGGUCCUUGGGUUUUAAUUUCUUUCAAAUGUGACAAGAAUCAGCCCUAUACUUUGAUAAUUGUUCAAUUAAGUCCUUGAUUUCAUUAAUUUAAUUAAAUCCAAGUCCAAUUAAAUCUCAAAACUUAUCAAUUCUCCAUUUAAACCCCUGAUUGGAUUAAUUAGAUUAAUUCCAAAGUUUAAUUAAACCCCAAAACUUCCAAUCAUGUUGCCUUUAACCCAAAUUUUAAUUCAUUUUUCAUUUAUUUCAUUUUACUUGUUUUUCAUCAUCAUUUUUUUAUUCUUUUCAGUAAAUAAAAUAAUAAUAAUAAUUAAAAUAAAAGGGUCAAAAAUUAGGUUAUGACAACGUUAACAGUUUAAAAUAUUUUUUUAUUUAUAAAUUUUAUUUUUUAAAAUUUAACACCAACAUAUAUAUAUAUAUAUAUAUAUAUAUAUAUAUAUAUAUAUUCAUUUUAAGCAAAGUAAAAAAAAUUCAAAAUGUUUGGGAAUGUUAUUUGCACCGCGUUUCUAAACACAUCCUUAAUCAAUAAUUACGGUAUAGUUUGUACGGAUCAACUUAUAUUGAUCUAAAACACUUUUUUUAAAUGUUUUUUUUGUUAAAGGUUGAAAUAAUAUUAUUUUAGAUUUUUUUUAAAAAAUCAAGCAGGGUUUUAUCAUGGUUUUAAUCAAGUUAACUUGUUAGAUUUAAUUUAUCAACUCCCACUCAAUCCAAUAUAAAACUCGAUAUAAACUAGAUCUCGAAUUAGCAAGGUCUUAAUUAAAUUAACAAGGCAUGUCAGGUUUAAUAAUACUUUCAAAUAAAAUAUAAUUUAUUUCAAGUUUUUAGUAUCUAAUUAUUUUUAUUACUAAAAUAUAAAAUAUCUAGAGAGCAUUGAGUAACAUAAGAUUUCUUCGUACUCCAACACAUUAAAAAUACAAUUGUAGAUUGCGUUAGAUUUGAUCAGAACUUUAAACUAGAUCAUGUAUCAGAGGAGGAAGGUUUAAUUUGGUCCCUAUAGUUUUUAAGAUUUAACUUCCCUAAGUUUUUUAAGAUUUAACUUAGUUUUUUCUUCAAUUUCAUGUUUUUUCCAUCUUUGUUUUUGAAGAAAAUGGAAAAAAAGGAGAACUAGAUUAGAGGAUGAGACUGGUCAUCGAUAGUAAAAUGGUUAUGUAAUAAUAUUUUUUAUUAAAGUAUAACUUAAUUGGUUAUACCUUAAAUAUAAUUUUCAGAUAUUAUCAAUUUAAAUAUUACAAACUUUAGAGCGACUAUAUCCAGAUUCCUGCAGUUAAAAAAUAAUAAUAAUAAAUGUUUUAUACCAUAAGGAUUACUCGUUAUUUUUUUUUUGACAAAAAAUAACAAACGCGACAAAACUCUCUUUUAUCAUGAACCUUGUCCUGACUAUGCAUCAAACAGGAGCAACGACAAGAAGAACCAGCCACAACCUCUUCAUCUCCACUGCAAACACAGAUACCAUCGUAAGAAAUGGAGAAUGGAACAGAGAAAUGGAGUUUUCAGGCAAGUAAAGGCAAGAACUCAACAGCAUCAAUCACAGUUCGUGGAGUUCUUAACCGCUUAGCUGAAACUCUGAACAAAGAAGACAAAAGAGAAGUUAUACCACUAGCUCAUGGUGACCCUUCUGCCUUCCCUUGCUUCAGGACUACACCUGUGGCUGAUGAGGCUAUUUUUGAUGCUGUACGAUCUGCUAAGAACAAUCAUUAUGCUCCAACUGUGGGUCUCCUUCCUGCUAGGAGGUAUCUACUUUGAAUGAUUUUGUGUGUGUAGAUUUUUAUGCUCUCUAUCUUGAAAAUUUCUCGGCUUUGAUAAUUUCCACUGAAGCAGUUUUGAUUUGUGGUUUAUGUUAAAUUUGCAUCCAUAUUGUGGGGAUGAAGUUUUAUUGAGCUUAACAAGCUCUAACACGAAGCGAUUAAGCUUGGCAUACAUCCCGUAGGAACCUCAGACACUGUGUCUUCAAUCAAUCAAUAUACUCUCCUUAAUUGUAGGCUGCAAUAUUCAAAUAUACUCUGAAUUGAAAGUGAUUUUGAAUUCUUUAUCAUAGAGCUGCUGCAGAUUACCUUAACCGUGACCUCCCAUACAAGUUAUCACCAGAUGAUGUUUUUCUCACACUUGGUUGCACACAAGCAAUUGAAAUUGCAGUAACAGUCUUGGCUGCUAUACCUGGUGCCAAUGUUUUGCUUCCAAGACCAGGUUUCCCAUACUAUGAAGCUCGUGCUGCACGUAGUUGUCUUGAUGUCCGGCAUUUUGAUCUUCUCCCAGAAAAAGGAUGGGAGGUUGAUCUUGAAGCUGUUGAAGCUCUGGCAGAUGAGAACACGGUUGCAAUGGUUAUUAUAAACCCUGGCAAUCCUUGUGGAAGUGUCUACAGCUAUCAACACUUGGAAAAGGUGUCAUAAACUAUAUCUCUUCCUUCCUAUCUUUUAAUCUGCAUUAGCUGGAGCGCGUGGUUAUGCUAGCCCCCUUGGAGUAAUGUUUUUUGUUCAAUGUCAGGUUGCCGAGACAGCAAGAAUGCUUGGGAUUAUGGUGAUUUCUGAUGAAGUAUAUGGCCACUUGACAUUUGGGAGUGCUCCAUUUGUGCCGAUGGGAGUCUUUGCGUCAACUGUGCCUGUCCUUACACUUGGAUCUAUAUCGAAGAGAUGGAUUGUUCCCGGCUGGCGAAUGGGCUGGCUUGUCACAAAUGAUCCCAAUGGCAUCCUUCAAGAUUCUGGGGUUGGCUCCCUGUCUCUGUCUCGAAGUAGAUGCAUUGACGUUGUUUUUUUUAAUUCUGUGGGAACUGACUCGUUUUCCCAUCAUGGUUCAAAGCCUUCUGUUCUUUUUAAUGAUAACAUCUAUGUCUGCAUUAACAUGGACUCGUAAUCUUGGCUUCUUAACAUAUCUAUUUGUUCUUCCUAGAUUGUUGCGUCAAUCAAGGACUACCUCAAUAUCUCUUCGGAUCCUCCGACUUUCAUUCAGGUUUGUAAUUCACGAUACUUUUCCUGAAGAGCAUAUUGUUGGUUUCCCGCUUAGAAUCUCACUGAUAUAAUGAAUCCUUGACAUGUAUUAGGCUGCAGUUCCUCAAAUCAUUGAAAAUACAAAGGAUGGUUUCUUUUCGAAAAUUAAUAACAUACUGGGAGAGGCUGCAGACACAUGCUAUGGAAAAAUACAGGACAUACCUUGCAUCAUUUGCCCUCAUAAACCAGAAGGUUCUAUGUUUGUAAUGGUGAGCGCAUCACAUUUCUUUUCCUUUAUAUGAUGAAGAAGAUGGUGCUUUAAUAAUUAAAAACAUUAACCCUUUUUCAGGUAAAAUUGAAUUUGACUCUGCUGGAAGGCAUCGAUGAUGAUGUGGACUUCUGUCUUAAGCUGGCUAAAGAGGAAUCAGUCAUGGUACUCCCAGGUAAUCAAUGCCGAUGGCACAAAGUUUCUGAUGUGGGGUGGGCUAUAUUGGUGACAAAUGUGAGCUUUAUAGACUUUACAAGCUUAAAAUGUGAACUCUAAAUGUGUUCAUUCUUGGUGUCCUUGUCGAAUUCACGUGAUCUUAUCUGACAAUUGAAGCUUUAAUUUGAGCAUCACUGUGCACUGAUGAUUGAUCAAUUCAAUCAUCGACACUCAUCCUGACAACAUUGUAUUACAUCUUGCAGGAAUUGCUGUAGGAAUGAAGAAUUGGCUUCGCAUAACCUUCGCCAUUGAGCCUUCAGCACUUGAAGUUGGCCUUGAGAGGCUAAAAGUCUUCUGCCAAAGGCAUGCCAAGAAGCAGUAAGAUUUCAUCAAAGUAUCAAGCAGCGAAGAGAAUCAAUAGUUGCUCGUUGAUUCUCAUGCUCCAAUGU
rnacentral:lncRNA from 1 species